AUUUACAAAUGAAAUUGAGAUAGAAAUGAUUUUUUAAAAAAAUUACUGUUUGCAUUACUUUUUGGUUUUAGAUUAAUUUUUAUUUUUAUUCAUUUAAAAUGUCGUCAAAAGCAUGUUACGAAACUAUGCCACUGUGCGUGAAAUAUCACGCGGCCGGCAUCAAGUCCGGUCCGCGCGACGGCAACCCUCCUUCGCAGUAUCCCUACCCACUCUGCUGCCAAGCAUAUUGGUGUAAUUCCUACAAUACGUGUAAUAAUCCCUGUCUGCGAUGGAUGUGAACAAAAGCGAAAUGAGCAAUAAAAAUAUGAAUUAUAAUCUUAAACCUUAAAUGUAAUUAUAAAAAUAGUUUGAAAAUAAUAACAAUAAAAAGGGAAAUGGAAUUUUAUUUAUCGUUAAAUAAAUCAAGAGUUUGUAUGUCUGUCCACAA